UACGUAGGGCGCAAGCGUUGUCCGGAAUUAUUGGGCGUAAAGAGCUCGUAGGCGGUCUGUCGCGUCGGUUGUGAAAACCCAAGGCUCAACCUUGGGCCUGCAAUCGAUACGGGCAGACUAGAGUACUGCAGGGGAGACUGGAAUUCCUGGUGUAGCGGUGAAAUGCGCAGAUAUCAGGAGGAACACCGGUGGCGAAGGCGGGUCUCUGGGCCGAUACUGACACUGAGGAGCGAAAGCCAGGGGAGCAAACGGG
rnacentral:rRNA from 1 species